rnacentral:misc_RNA from 1 species
GGCAGGGGAUUCGAGGCAGGAGGGAGAGACUAGAGAGGGAGAGAGGGAGGGAUAGACAGACGCCAUGUUUGCUUUGUGUGGCUCAGGCAGCGGGAUGUGUACCCUGCGAUUUUCUCAGCUUUAACCACGGAACCAGAAAAAGAACAACCAUGGCAAGUGGUUUGUUGUCCCUCAAGUGGAAUAACCACCGAAGUACCUUCUUCCACAUCCUCUCCACCAUCCGGAGCAAGGAAUCCUAUUGUGAUGUGACUAUAGCCUGUGAUGGAAAAUUUUAUCCAGUACACAAACUGGUGUUAUCAACAUGUAGUGAUUAUUUUGAACAGAUGUUUGAAAGGACAAACUGUAAACAUCCAAUUAUAGUGUUAAAAGACAUUAGAAGUCAAGAACUAGAAGCUUUAUUAAACUAUAUGUAUGUUGGUGAAGUUAAUGUGCUUCAAAAUGAAUUAGCUGGCUUAAUAAAAGCAGCAGAAUGCCUUAUGAUCAAAGGCCUAGCAGUACCUGAUGAAGCUCCCUCAAAAGACAGCAAAGAAAAUAAGCGAACUUUUGUCGGGACAGAGGACAGUCCGUUGUCAAAGAGAAGAAAAAGAGAUGAAGAAAUUAGACCGUCUCCCUCUCAGAACCAACAAAUUCACAGAGAGGCGAGAGACACCACAGUGAACAGCCAAUCCCAAAGACAGUCCAGUAGUGCCUCAAUUCCAACUCCCUCCCCGACGGUGCCCAGAGUGCCGCCAAACCCCAUCUCCCCUUCUCCGUCAGCAGGAAGUGCCUCUGAGUCUGUGUCAGAGGACUGUAGUCAAGCUCAUAGUGAGGUGAACGAGCAGCCCAGCCUUCCCAAUGCACAAGAGUCAACGCAUCGGGCAGCCGAGCCGGCAUCUAGUCAAUCGCAGCAGGCAGUACCUGAGGUAAUCUUAGAUGAACCUGGUGUUAAAGAAGAACCGCAAGAAAUAGAGGAAGAAAUAACGGAUACAAAAGAGAUCUUUGAGUCACACGACUUUGAGCAUCCAGCCGAAGGGGACUCUCUGAGUGACAAAGGGCCCGGUGCUGGGGGAGGGCCAACGGCCUUUGAGCCACAGAUGUUGGGCUCACAACCUCAGUCUAUGGAGGACUUGGUAGCACAGGCCAUCCCAGGCUCUUCAGGCUUACAAGGAAACAAUGUUUCCUUGUGGGAAGGAGAAGGAAGCUUUCCUAUGGAAGGUUUUACUGGAGAUGGGUCUCGGCCUCCACAGAUGGGAGUGGACUUGUGUAAUGCAGCCUGUCACAAGCAACAGGAAGGCUUGAUGAGGACCACUUUGCCCAACAUGGUUCUGCCACCGCCUUCAGCUUUUCCUAUUAGGAGACUCGUUACGAAAGUGGCCCAGGAAGGGAGCAGACGGGAGUAUCGGUGUCAAGUUUGUGGAUAUCAGGCCAUCAGUGAAUCAAAGCUCACCAUACAUUUCCGUAAACACACAGGGGAGAAGCCGUUUGUUUGCUCGUUCUGCUCCUACAGGUGUGCUCAUAAGAGCAACCUUAUCACACACAUGAAGACUCGUCAUGCAGACCAAGAGCACCAGUAAUAAUGGAGAAAGCAUUUUAGUGGGAUGUCGUUAAUAUGCUGCAGAAUCUAGAAAGGGAAUGGACUUGUCAAAGCCCUCCAGUAGCAGGCAACAUGAAGGGACAGUGACUCCUGCAUACACCUCAGGUGUCUAUCUGGCUCCCCUUGGGUCCUCUGUUCCGAGGCCAAGACCACAGUCACACGAUCACACAAGAAAGGA